AGGGGUAGGCAGGUGGCCGCCCGCCAUCAGGCGGGAGGAAAGUCCGAGCUCCACAGGGCAGGGUGCUCCGUAACGCGGAGGUCCUGUAAGGGACGGAAAGUGCCACAGAGAAUAGACCGCCUCGCCCUCCCUCAUAAGGGGCGGGGUAAGGUUGCAACGGUCAGGUAAGAGCUCACCGCUCCCGUGGCGACACGGGAGGCACGGCAAACCCCACCCGGAGCAAGAUCAAGCAGGGACUCGGUGGCCCGCCAUAAGUCCCGGGUAGAUCGCUAAAGUCUGGUAGUAAUACCAGACGGAGAUGGAUGGUCACCCUUGACAGAACUCGGCUUAUCGCCUACCCCUUUUA
rnacentral:RNase_P_RNA from 1 species